rnacentral:lncRNA from 1 species
GGCAAAAGACUAUUAUAUUCUUGUUAUUUAUAUAUAUAAUAAAUCAUUAUUUAAAUAAAAAAAUAAAAAAAAAAUAAAAAAAAUAUUUUUUUAUGUUUUCGAAUUAUACUUUUUCAAAUUCGAACUUUUUUAUAAUUUUUUUUUUGAAUUUUUUUUUUGAAUUUUUUUAUUUUAUUUUUUGAAUUUCUUUUUGAAAUCGAAAAUUAUGUUUGAAACAAUUUUUCAAUUUUUUUAUAUUUUUUAAGUAUUUAUUUAUAUAUUUAUUAGAAUCCUAAAUUUCACAUUCCAAAAACCCUAUCCUACCCCUUAACUCUAAACCAUAAGUCUAGAUUAGUUAACCCUAAGAGUAUAAAUGUCUUUUACCCUUCAUUAAAAAUGAUGGUAAAAGUGAUUAGUGUAAACAUGAAAAGUGGUACUAUGAAUGUGCUAUUUGUGGCAAUUUCCCCUAAGAAAACUGCCCAUAAAACUUAGAUUUGUAUUGAGAUUUCGGCCAAAAAAAACCUCAACUUUUCACGAAUUGCUAAAAGAAACAUGAACUUUUGGACUAACAAAAAAAACACCAAAUUUUCAUUGACUUUAGAAUUAAUUAACAAUAUUUUCG